rnacentral:rRNA from 1 species
CAGGCCUAACACAUGCAAGUCGAACGGGGUCUUCGGACCCAGUGGCGAACGGCGGAGUAAUACAUAAGCAACGUGCCCUAAAGACUGGGAUAAUCAUUGGAAACGAUGGGUAAUACCAGAUGUGGUCUUCUCUUGGCAUCUUGAGAAGAUUAAACGGUUUUUCGCUUUAGGAGCGGCUUAUGGCCUAUCAGGUAGUUGGUGGGGUAACAGCCUACCAAGCCGACGACGGGUAGCGGGUCUGAGAGGAUGAUCCGCUCGAGUGGGACUGAGACACGGCCCACACACCUACGGGUGGCAGCAGUUGGGAAUCUUGCACAAUGGGGGAAGCCCUGAUGCAGCGACGCCGCGUGGAGGAUGAAGGGUCUAGGCCUGUAAACUCCUUUUGACGGGAAAGACUUAGGACGGUACCCGUUGAAUAAGGACCGGCUAACUACGUGCCAGCAGCCGCGGUAAGACGUAGGGUCCAAGCGUUGUCCGGAUUUACUGGGCGUAAAGAGCGCGUAGGCGGUCUGUUAAGUGUGAAGUGAAAUCUCCAGGGCUCAACCCGGAAACUGCUUCGCAUACUGGCAGACUGGAGGGAUGCAGAGGUUUGUGGAAUUCCUGGUGUAGCGGUGAUAUGCAUAGAUAUCAGGAGGAACACCCAUGGCGAAGGCAGCAAACUGGGCAUCAUCUGACGCUGAGGCGCGAAAGCGUGGGUAGCAAACAGGAUUAGAUACCCUGGUAGUCCACGCCCUAAACGAUGGAUACUAG